GUCACCAGUUUAAGAAAGCAGUUUGCAUUAAAUUUGAAAGCAUGCUUCUAAUAACGUGCAAUACCCUUCCUCCUCCCUUAUGCAUGUAAAAAAAAAAAAAUAUGAGCUCAAUCACUGGGUGUCUGAGCUGUGCAGAAAAACUGCAGGUGCAUCAUUUUGAAGGGAAAGGUGCAUGCAAUUAAGCAGGAGUGCCACGAAGGGUAAAGGGAGUGACAGCACAAAGUAGUCUGCAGUAGCCUGGUCCACCACUGUAAUGAGCAGCAUCUGCUCCUCAUUGUUGAAUCAAACACCCUGUUCCACACAUCUGGCUCUUCUGGACAAUGCUUAGCAGUUCAGCACAGCGUGAUAGAUGUACUGCAGUGUAUGUACCCAUGGCCCAGCGCAAGUGCUGAUGUUGCACAGGCGUGCAUUGUAGUAGCAAGUUGUGUGUCGCAGUAUGCUAAUACAGUCAAUUUGAACCCGUUGCUUGCAGUCGCAUUACACAUUGUUUUUGUUUUGUCAUGCUUUUUAAAAAAUUGUCUGAAUUGUCAUUGGUUGUGUUUGCAUUACAUUUCUACAAACAGUAAACUUAAGACGGUCAAAAUUGAUCAGGAGCCCAUAGCUACAUGUCCCAUACCAGCAGCAUGCUUAACGCUGCUUGUAUACAAAGCAUCUGUAUCUACGUGUUCAAUUUCACGUAGUGUGAAAAAGAAAAUAUUACGUAGUCACCUGAUAAUGGUGACGGCUACUCCUUUUCUCAUAGCAGAAACAAUAUAAAAAAAAACUAAGAAAUCACUUCAUAUGGUCAGAAAUCCACAGCACACUUUUUAUUCCUGUAGUGCCUUUUGGCAUCUAUUUGUGGCACAGAAAUUUAUAUGCAUAAUACCUAAAAACAUUUCUAGAAUAGUGUAAUGUUGCAGUGUGCAGUGUCUACAGCGUAUUUCAAUGUAUAUAAAUUCUGCUGUGUAUGUCUGACAUCUUUAAACGCAGUGUCUCAUUGACUUUCUUUUUUGCUUUCUCUCUAAAUGCACUGUUAAUGGGUAAGUUGCUGCAGUUUAUCUUGUAAGUACUUUCUCACCAGAACUAAAAGUUUUGCUUCAGAGUUUUAAAAAAUGUAUCCUUGGUGGCUGACAGACUGCUUACGCUACAUUGCAUGCCCGCCUGAACAGUUGUGUAACCAUGGCAAACUUGCAGGCAUUAUUGGGAGGCUUUAAUGAAUGGAAAUGGCUUUGGCUCACUAUUUACGCAAUACUGUCACCUGCACGUUCUUUUCUGCUAAAUUUGCUUAUUAUUAAAUAAGACAUCACUUUGUGACAAGUUGCAUACAGCUUAUUAUAUGUGGUGUUGUUCAUUUGUAUAAUUUUGUGAACUUCUUAAAGUGACUUAAAUUGUACAUACAUAUGGAACAUUUAGCUGCUGUCCUUCACGUAAAUGAAGGCACAGUAACACUUUUCCUCUUGGGAUGAUUUACAUGAGGUCGCUCAGCAGAAAUUGUGUAUGGUACUUGUAAGAAAGGUUGCUGUAAUGCUGUCUGAAGUGAAAAAAUCAUUGUCCCAUGAGCCCCUCACCCAGAGAAUUGCAAUAUUUACUCUUUACAAAUUAGAUGCUGCAUCCAUUCGUGUAAUCCUCUCAUGACGAUUGGGUGGGCUGGAGAAGUGUUUAGUGAAAAUGUGCUGCAGUGAGUGAGUGCUAGUCUAAGCUCCAGCCUGUUUAUAGCUCACAAUGCAGUGAACAGUCUAGUUUGAUAAUUAGUGGUCCUAUAGUGGCACAUUGGGGUGCACUUGGCAUGAACAUGUUCCUUUGCUGCGAGUGCAUAUGUGCGUGCUCUUGUUUAGAAUAUGAAGCGCUGCUUCCUGUUGUAGCCGGUGAAAUAAGUUGCCACAGCAGUUAUACUUGUUGCGCUUUACUGUCUACACCACUCUCAAGUUCCAGAAAUAAGUAUUGGCUACAGUACACUUGUUUCUUGCUGUAGGGAUUUCAGGAGUGUGUUGUUGCAUUUUUUUUAUUAUUCAAACAUGAUUAAAUCUGUAGUACAUCCUUUGGUAGUAGUUAUGGAAAGUUCUGUUGCAUGAAUAAAACUUAUUUUUCAGUG
rnacentral:lncRNA from 1 species